UGUCUGUGCUGUACAGAUAAGAAGGGAAUCAGUUGAUAAGGGUUUCUUGUGACGUCAUUCCAGCAUAUACUGCCAAUCCCUCUUCCUGCCUCAGUAGUUAGAAAAAGUUUACAGAGAAACUUUUUGUCUUUACUUUCAGUAGUUGAUAAGAGUGUCUUCAAACUGCCUUGUAUGUUACUAGGAGAAAGCAACUUCACAAUGUAAAAGGACCAUAUUCAUAUAUACAUGAAUACACAUUGAGCUCACUAGAUUCUCAGUUCUAGAGGUUGUAUAUUCAAUAACACAUGCAUGCAAAUAUGCAGUCUCCUCCAAAACAGACUUUUCUCAAAGCUCAAAUGCAUGGAGAGACAUUCCACUGUCCUGUGGCACCUGGUAGAAUGAAGGCUUGCAUAUCCAACUGAUAGUAUGGAAAAUAUAAGGUUCAGCUGCCUCCAGCUCUUCUCCCCGACUUGCUUUCCCGUGCUGUGGAGGAAGGGCACGUCUCCGCAGCUGACAUCUCCCUUGGGCCUGCGCUUGCACCGAGCCGCUGCCAGAACGGGAACUGCAGGCGUCUGUUGAACAACAAAGCAAAC
rnacentral:lncRNA from 7 species